CGAGUAUAUUAUAAUAUGUGUUGUACGUAUUUUGUUUUACAAUCUAAAUCCUACUAUAAAUAACAAAAAUAAUUAAAUAAAUUUGGAAAACAAAACGGUUGUGAAUAGAUUAGAAGAAGCAUCAUCGUCCAAUGACACCACUUCAGUAAUAAUAAACACAUACCUAACCUACCUGUAUAAUAUUUAAAAAAGUAAAUAAAUAAAAUUAUCACAAGAUGUUAAUCCGUUAAACGUAUGUAAUAAUUUAAUAAAAAUAUGUUUUCAACGCCGGAUUAAGCGACUAGCCAUUUACAGACGGAAAGAAAUCCAUAUCCCCUUCAUUUUCCUUCCUUUUUAAUUUUUUUUUAUUUAAACAAACGAAAUCAUCAAUAAAUAUAUUAUUGAUUACACUAUUAAUUCACUAUUAUUGUUUUAAAAUAUAUAUAAAGUAGGCAGGCAUAAAACAAUGUUUGGUAUUGAUAAUAAUUAAUAUACAAGUAGGUGACGAAAGGAAAAUAAUAUCCAAAAUAAUUUAAAUUAUAAUCUAUGAAUAUCGUUGCUGUUGGUGCCUUAAAAAG